CCUGAACUCUGCACUUCUCUACUCUGGGUUCGAAUUUUUAAAUUCUCGAGCAAUUUUGUAAGUUAUGCAUACUUAGUAAGUUCUAGUUCUCUUCUUCGGAGAACGGGGUGUUGCAGUUGAUUGAUUCUUGUAGUCCGACUUAAUUCAAUUGCUUCUUGCACUGUAGUUAUUGAAUUCGCGGGGGGAUUCUGAAUUCUUGAUUGCUCCGGGUCCGAAUUGUUAUGACAGUUUUCUUAGGUGGUAAGCUUUGCUUAAUUGAAUAUUAGGCAUGGUGGAUGCUCACAAUGAAAUCAUGUCUUGUAUUCCUGUGCUCUAAGACCUAAAUUUGAAACUGAUCGUGUAUUGUUAGGCUGAUGCUGGAGGUUCACCCUCACUUGUUGCUCGAGGAUUCAGCACUGUUCAGGCUGCUAGUGGUGGUGAGCAACUUGAAAUUCAAGUUCCAGUUGAAAGGGAUACACACAUAAGUUUGAGAUGGCAUAGACAUGUUUUGGAGAGAUGGGGAGCCAUUUAGGAUAAUUGGAGGAGACUUGCAUUAUUUCCGAGUGCAUCUUGAGGUUUGUGGUGGAUUAAAUGUGUCGUACGUUGAGCUGAAGAGGCUUGUGAAUUCACAAGAAAAGUUGUACCAUAUGGCUAGCUAGUUGCAUAUUUAAUAUGUUUAGUAUUUUUGUAAGGCAUAAUAGUAUAGAUAGAGCAGUUGUUGAAUUUUGACUAUAUUCAAAUCUUGUAUGAAUUCUUUUUAUGAUAAUAAUAUAAAAUUAAAUAUUUUGGAUGA